CCCCCCCCAAACCGACUCAGGUGGUCAGGUAGAGAAUACUAAGGAGAUCGAGAGAAUCGUGGUUAAGGAACUCGGCAAAAUGCCCCCGUAACUUCGGGAGAAGGGGGGCCACCCGCUUAUACGGACUUGCUCCGGAAAGGGUGUGGUGGCCGCAGAGACUAGUGGGUAGCGACUGUUUACUAAAAACACAGGUCCGUGCCAAGUCGCAAGACGAUGUAUACGGACUGACGCCUGCCCGGUGCUGGAAGGUUAAGAGGACCGGUUAGCCGCAAGGCGAAGCUGAGAAUUUAAGCCCCAGUAAACGGCGGUGGUAACUAUAACCAUCCUAAGGUAGCGAAAUUCCUUGUCGGGUAAGUUCCGACCUGCACGAAUGGCGUAACGACUUCCCAACUGUCUCAACCGCGAACUCGGCGAAAUUGCAUUACGAGUAAAGAUGCUCGUUACGCGCAGCAGGACGGAAAGACCCCGUGACCUUUACUAUAGCUUUGUAUUGGUGUUCGGUGUGGCUUGUGUAGGAUAGGUGGGAGACUUUGAAGCGUGGACGCCAGUUCAUGUGGAGUCAUUGUUGAAAUACCACUCUGGUCACUCUGGAUAUCUAACUUCGAACCGUGAUCCGGUUCAGGGACAGUGCAUGGUGGGUAGUUUAACUGGGGCGGUUGCCUCCCAAAAAGUAACGGAGGCGCCCAAAGGUUCCCUCAACCUGGUUGGCAAUCAGGUGUCGAGUGUAAGUGCACAAGGGAGCUUGACUGUGAGACUGACAGGUCGAGCAGGGACGAAAGUCGGGACUAGUGAUCCGGCAGUGGCUUGUGGAAGCGCUGUCGCUUAACGGAUAAAAGGUACCUCGGGGAUAACAGGCUGAUCUUGCCCAAGAGUCCAUAUCGACGGCAUGGUUUGGCACCUCGAUGUCGGCUCGUCGCAUCCUGGGGCUGGAGUAGGUCCCAAGGGUUGGGCUGUUCGCCCAUUAAAGCGGUACGCGAGCUGGGUUUAGAACGUCGUGAGACAGUUCGGUCCCUAUCCGCUGCGCGCGUAGGAAGUUUGAGAGGAUCUGACCCUAGUACGAGAGGACCGGGUUGGACGAACCUCUGGUGUGCCAGUUGUUCCGCCAGGAGCACCGCUGGUUAGCUACGUUCGGGAUGGAUAACCGCUGAAAGCAUCUAAGCGGGAAGCCGGCCUCAAGAUGAGACUUCCAUACCUUCGGGUGAGAGGCUCCCAGCCAGACUACUGGGUUGAUAGGCCAGAUGUGUAAGCACGGCAACGUGUGCAGCUGACUGGUACUAAUAAGCCGAUGACUUG
rnacentral:rRNA from 1 species